rnacentral:rRNA from 1 species
GCCGGGCGACGGUUGUCCCGGUUUAAGCGUGUAGGUGUGUGUUCCAGGUAAAUCCGGUUCACUUUAACACUGAGGCGUGACGACGAGGCACUACGGUGCUGAAGCAACAAAUGCCCUGCUUCCAGGAAAAGCCUCUAAGCAUCAGGUAACAUCAAAUCGUACCCCAAACCGACACAGGUGGUCAGGUAGAGAAUACCAAGGCGCUUGAGAGAACUCGGGUGAAGGAACUAGGCAAAAUGGUGCCGUAACUUCGGGAGAAGGCACGCUGACACGUAGGUGAAGUGAUUUACUCACGGAGCUGAAGUCAGUCGAAGAUACCAGCUGGCUGCAACUGUUUAUUAAAAACACAGCACUGUGCAAACACGAAAGUGGACGUAUACGGUGUGACGCCUGCCCGGUGCCGGAAGGUUAAUUGAUGGGGUCAGCGCAAGCGAAGCUCCUGAUCGAAGCCCCGGUAAACGGCGGCCGUAACUAUAACGGUCCUAAGGUAGCGAAAUUCCUUGUCGGGUAAGUUCCGACCUGCACGAAUGGCGUAAUGAUGGCCAGGCUGUCUCCACCCGAGACUCAGUGAAAUUGAACUCGCUGUGAAGAUGCAGUGUACCCGCGGCAAGACGGAAAGACCCCGUGAACCUUUACUAUAGCUUGACACUGAACAUUGAGCCUUGAUGUGUAGGAUAGGUGGGAGGCUUUGAAGUGUGGACGCCAGUCUGCAUGGAGCCGACCUUGAAAUACCACCCUUUAAUGUUUGAUGUUCUAACGUGGACCCGUAAUCCGGGUUGCGGACAGUGUCUGGUGGGUAGUUUGACUGGGGCGGUCUCCUCCUAAAGAGUAACGGAGGAGCACGAAGGUUGGCUAAUCCUGGUCGGACAUCAGGAGGUUAGUGCAAUGGCAUAAGCCAGCUUGACUGCGAGCGUGACGGCGCGAGCAGGUGCGAAAGCAGGUCAUAGUGAUCCGGUGGUUCUGAAUGGAAGGGCCAUCGCUCAACGGAUAAAAGGUACUCCGGGGAUAACAGGCUGAUACCGCCCAAGAGUUCAUAUCGACGGCGGUGUUUGGCACCUCGAUGUCGGCUCAUCACAUCCUGGGGCUGAAGUAGGUCCCAAGGGUAUGGCUGUUCGCCAUUUAAAGUGGUACGCGAGCUGGGUUUAGAACGUCGUGAGACAGUUCGGUCCCUAUCUGCCGUGGGCGCUGGAGAACUGAGGGGGGCUGCUCCUAGUACGAGAGGACCGGAGUGGACGCAUCACUGGUGUUCGGGUUGUCAUGCCAAUGGCACUGCCCGGUAGCUAAAUGCGGAAGAGAUAAGUGCUGAAAGCAUCUAAGCACGAAACUUGCCCCGA